GCAGGAAGGACGGACGGCUGCACUGCUCGGAAGAACAGCUGCUCACGUUAUUUCCGAACACAUGACUUCCACAUCCUUCAGACAUGAAGCAACCUUAACAUCUCAUUGAGUUCCUGUUUCUGCCUGAUAAAUACUUCCUGAUAGCCUGAAGAUGAGAAGGUGGAUCUGAAGCUGGAUCAGCAUCUCCUCAGUGUGAUCACUCCAAAGAAAAUCCUCCAGACUUCAGCAUGGGGCGCAAAAAACAACAAAAAAGAGCCACUGAAGCCAAGAAGAAGAUAUCUGACAGUGGAUCAGCGUCUUCAACAAUGAGUUUAAUG